AGACAGAUCCUCUGCCUGCACACACUGCUCAGCUGAAUGCAGUCUGUGCAAACACCAAUACUGAAGCACAAGGUUUCCACGCCUGCAGAAGGAGAACGACUGAACCAUUUCUCAGAGCACAAAGCAGCACCAGAACCCCCAGCACACCAGAGGAGAAGGAUCCCAACAAGUUCUGACCCCCAACUCCCAGAAGAGGAUGUACAGAUAUUGCUGCUGGAGUCCAAUACUUCCACACCCGCUAUGGGAGAAGGAGACCAACAGGAAACAUUUUCAGAGCACCAAGCAGCACUGGAGCCCCUUGGGCAGAGUGGAGGACACCAAUGGGGCUCCUGGUGCUAUGGGACAGGAAGAAGGAGAUCCCGUGUGCAGCUCAUUGCUGUGUGUGCAGCACUGGGAACCCUCAUCCUCGUGCUGGUGGUGAUAUCGACCGUAUGUCGGCAGGUCCCUGUGCCACCUUUCCCAGACUUUGCCCACGUGUGCCCCAACGCCUGGGUCUGAUUCCAGGGGAAAUGCUAUUAUUUAUCGAAGGAGGAGAAUGAUUGGAACAGCAGCAGGGAGCACUGCAAUGCCCACGGAGCUUCCCUGGCCACCAUAGGCAGUGAAGAUGAGAUGGUUCGAGCUGCGAGGUGGAGGCCGAUGUGCGUACCUGAACGGGGACAGGAUCAGCUCAUCCCUGUGCCACCUACACAAGCACUGGGUCUGCAGCAGAGCUGACCACUACGUCCUCUGGAAGCAAAAUGCGCACCCACAAUGAGAGAUCCCAUCACCACCAACCUUGUGCCAGUGCUGCUGUUGUAUUACAGUGUAUUUUCUU
rnacentral:lncRNA from 7 species